GACGGACGCUGGCGGCGUGCUUAACACAUGCAAGUCGAACGGAAAGGCCCCAGCUUGCUGGGGUACUCGAGUGGCGAACGGGUGAGUAACACGUGGGUGAUCUGCCCUGCACUCUGGGAUAAGCCUGGGAAACUGGGUCUAAUACCGGAUAGGACCGUGCUUUAGUGUGUGCGGUGGAAAGUUUUUCGGUGCAGGAUGAGCCCGCGGCCUAUCAGCUUGUUGGUGGGGUAAUGGCCUACCAAGGCGGCGACGGGUAGCCGGCCUGAGAGGGUGUACGGCCACAUUGGGACUGAGACACGGCUCAGACUCCUACGGGAGGCAGCAGUGGGGAAUAUUGCACAAUGGGCGCAAGCCUGAUGCAGCGACGCCGCGUGGGGGAUGACGGCCUUCGGGUUGUAAACCCCUUUCGGCAGGGACGAAGCUUUUGUGACGGUACCUGCAUAAGAAGCACCGGCUAACUACGUG
rnacentral:rRNA from 1 species